CCGUACAACCUUCUAGCUUUAC
rnacentral:miRNA from 10 species